rnacentral:rRNA from 1 species
UAGGGAAUCUUCCACAAUGGGCGCAAGCCUGAUGGAGCAACGCCGCGUGAGUGAAGAAGGUCUUCGGAUCGUAAAACUCUGUUGUUAGAGAAGAACACGAGUGAGAGUAACUGUUCAUUCAAUGACGGUAUCUAACCAGCAAGUCACGGCUAACUACGUGCCAA